rnacentral:rRNA from 1 species
UAUAAGAGGUCCAGCCUGCCCAGUGAUUCAUUCAACGGCCGCGGUAUCCUAACCGUGCAAAGGUAGCGUAAUCACUUGUUUUCCAAAUAAAGACCAGUAUGAAAGGCAUCACGAGAACUAAACUGUCUCCUUUCUCUAAUCAGUGAACCUAAUCUCCCCGUGAAGAAGCGGGGAUCCCACUAUAAGACGAGAAGACCCUGUGGAGCUUAAAACAUUAAAACAGUGCCCCCCCCCCUACAACCACCCUGAUGGGCUCCCCCCCCCCCCCGGCACCCUGAUUACAUGUUUUUGGUUGGGGUGACCGCGGAGAAAAACCCAUCCUCCGUAAUGAAAGGGGACUUCCCCUAAGCAACAAGCUACAACUUUAUUCAUCAAAAAAUUGACAUCUUUGACCCAAUAAAUUGAUUAACGAAC